AUGGAAGAUUCUCACUCUCUACUUACAUGUGUCCUCAAGGCUAAAUAUUUCCCUCGGGCUGAUCUCGGUCACAACCCAAAGUCAUUGGAACGCAUUGUGGCAGAUGCAAACACUCUUACAGUAAAAGAGUUUUUGCUGAAGAGAAAGCGUUUCUACCUGGUAGAAUUUGAUCACUCUGAGGUGUCCCUUGUGCUGGAAGUAAUUUGUAACUAG